UCAUCUCUCUCUCUCUCUCCGUCCCAUUUUCCUCUCUCGCUCAAACCUACGAUCCAUCUUCCGACGAUUCACCUGCGUCGAAUUGCCUCUAAUCCUUCAUCCAAUUCCAUGCUUUCGAUUCUAAAAUUGCUUCUACUCACACGAAUACGGUGAAGAUAAACGAUCGAUUUCCAUAUCCCAAUCGAUCAAACUAUCAUCAUCGAUCAUCAAUCUAUAUGAAAUCUGAAAUCCCCAAACGAUCGAAGUUUCAUUGUUGCUGAACUCCUUGAUCUCAUGUUCUUCAAAGAAAAACUCCACUGAAGAUGCUUUGAUUUUGAAUCGUUUAUCCUCCAUCAGUUCCCCGGAGUACACCGUAAUCGCCGACUUCAUCUCGGCCUCCACUGUAGAUUGAAGACCUGAACGAAGAAGAUGAUCCAUUGUCGAUCAAAAUUUAGGAAGAAGUUGAAAGAGGCAAGAGAGCAAUUUAUUUGAUGGGCGCUUCCUUGUUAGAAACAUGCAAUGGAGCUGGUUUCGGAUAUUGGCUAGUGAGGAAAUAUAUUAUUUCUGAAGAUGGAGAAGUUGAUGUUCGGGUUGAAGUCACAUGUAUUAUCCUGGUAGGUUACUAUAUUCAUUAAUUAAACUAAUAUUUCCAAAAGUGGUUCAUGAUUUAAUGAAUUCUAUGUUUUAGUUGCUUAUAUUUGAGGCUUGUGUUAUCUUUUUCUGAGCACGAAAGACACCCCUUUGGCAAUGACUGCGGUGGGGUCUUGUUUGGGUGUAUACUACAUGAUCACGAAGAUUGUAAGGAAAAUGCCAUGUAGGAUCUAUGCAACCCUCAAAGAGCUCAGCCUUGGUAUGAUGGAGAAGGAAUGGAAUGUAUCAUUCCAUUGGAAUUGACGAUUCUUAAAUGAAUGUAAUUCCUUCCAUUUUCUGGAAUUUAUGAAGAGGAACAAUUUUGUUAGCCCUAAAGUUGCUUAUGAAACAACAACUGAUUUGCAUGUACAGUUAGAUGAAUUUUAA